rnacentral:lncRNA from 1 species
GUCCGUGUCAACAAACAAUUCGAAAUGCCUCGACUUUUUUAGAACAGGUCCAAGUCAAAUAGCAAUGAUUUGAAGCACUUCUUUUUACACUAUUUUGGAAACCCGAGGACUCAAUCGUAUGGAUAUGUAAAAUACAGGAUUUCCAAUCCUAGCAGGAAAGGGAGGGGAACAGAUACUCAAUUUAAAGUGAGUAAACAGAAUUCCAUACUCGAUCUCAUAGAUACAUAUAGAAUUCUGUAGAAAGCCGUAUUCGGUCUGUUGCGGGUCGAGGACUUCUUCUCCUUCCCCUUCUUCAAACUCCGAUUCAUAUUUUUCAUAGAGAAAUCUCUGAUCAAGGAUAGAAUAAGAUCCAUUUUGCAUCAUAUCUAAGGGACUUCUUGGUUCGGGCCGAAGAAGUAAUGUCACUUGAUCAUUAUGAAACUGACUGCAAUCUUUUUCUGUCCGUGAGGAUCCCACCAGAGCGCUUUCUACUUCUAAUAGGCCAUGAACUAGAUCAGAAUCAUUCUCAAUAAGUCCAUAAUAAGUGAUCCCAUUUUUUUCAUCGGGUCCAGGUUGAGACCAAAGGUCUUGAGCAACUGAUCCGGCAGAACAACUCAAAAGAUAAAGAAGUAUCGUUAAUUUCUUCAUGCUCAUUCCAAGUUCGAAGUACCAUUUGUACAAAUAAGAAUCUUAUGUACCCAUAGGUACUAUAUUGGAUUUGAAUCAGAUUUAGGAUCAAUCCAUAUUGAUUGAUUGCCUUUAUUAUGUUGUUGUUAGCAAAUACCACUAUUUUUUGUUUUGGAUCUUCAAAAUCAUUCCCGCAGGAGAUCCGGACCCAUUUUUUUCUGAUCAUUCGAUAAAAAGAUUCAUUCUCUUCAUAAAAGAUAGGAGGUAGAACCAAUAAAGAUUUCUUUUUCGAUUCAUCCCUAGAGUUGAAUACCUCAUUCAAGAAUUGUUUUUGAUCCAAUCCGUAGGAAUCAAUGAAAAAGGUAAAUCCUUUAUGAUAUACCAGAUCCGGCUCGGUUAUUGAUAGAGUGAAUAGAUCCGCCAUUUCUUAAAAUCUCUCUUCUGAUUCAAAAUCACGGUGUAACGUGUAUCCCCCCCGUUCCGAUCAUGGAAUGGAUGAAAUAAAUUAAAAAAUGGAUUUUUGUUCACGAAAGAAAUCUUAUUGGAACUGUCCAUAUCCAGUUCAUCCUUCAGAACCAUAUCACAUCCCGGAUCUUAUUGGAACUGUCCAUAUCCAGUUCAUCCUUUGAUUUCUUCCGGAAGCAGAUGAUUAUUCAUCUCCUUCUCACCUUCUGUGAAUAGCCGGGACAUUGAGGAAUAUCCAGAAAGGCAUUUAGGGAAUCGGUCUGAUUCUAUCUCUGUUCGUUCCGUUUGAAGAAAGGAAGGAUCCCAAAGAAUCGAUCUUUCUUUUAGUUGUUGAAUCUUUCUUUGAUUGAUCAAUGUGUGAUAUUCUGAAUCCUCAUUACUAAUGGAAUCGAAAUGAUCUCUGGAUUGAUUAGAAGAUCCCUUCAAUUGGCUAGAAUUCCUUCCUUGAACGAAACUAGAUCUUGUAGAAUCAUAUUGAAUAUUUGACGACAUAUUCCGUGCCUUACUUAAAAACCGAUCCUUGUUUACCAACCACACAUUGUUUAACCAAAUCCAAUUCUCUCUCGAUAUGUUCCUAAAAAAAUCUGAUUCGUGCGAAUUAUUCUCCCAACUAACGAAGAGAUCUUGGCGGAAUUGCCACAUAUGAAAUUGAGCAUAAUUUUACAAAGAAAUAGCCCAUUUCUUUCUCGAGAAGAGAUGGGAAACAUGCUCAAUAUCAUUUGAUUGAAUAGUUGACCGAGCUCCUUGUUGUUUGAAAAAACCCUCCACUUCAAUUGAUAUUUUUUCACGAAAAGCAAACAUGAGAUAACAAAUCUAGUCUUUUACUAAGAUUUCGAAUAGCUGUCCCGAAUUCAAGUUGAUUAUGUUUCGCCCCUUCCUCGAAUAAAGAUGAUCAAACAAUUCCCAAUCAUGGUCCUUGCAGAUCAGAUCAUCCAUAUAAUAUACAAAAAGAAACUCCAGAUAUUUGAUAUCUUUUUCUUUGAAUGAGAUCUCAAUUCCAGCGACGGUUUCAUUAGAUAUCUUACAACUAGAAUCCCUCUUUUUUCCAAUCCAGUUCCUCCACCACCGCGAACCCCAGUUAGAUUCAGACAUGAUACACUUUUUAGUUAUUGGGAGAACCCAAGUACUCUCUUUCGGAUCCAGGAAAGAGCUCUUAGAGAUAUUUUUUCCUUUUGGAAGAUACAGGAGCAAAACAAUCAACCUAUUGAUAUUGGAAGAGAAAAGGAUUUUUCCAAUGUAUCAUUUCUAGGUCCAAUAGAAUUCAUAGGUAUAGGAAGAAGCCUUGUCAAAUAGAGAUUUUUUCUUUCGACCAUCUUUCGAUUGUUAAUACGAUAUAUAAGGACCACUACUACAAAUAGUACUACACCCUUGAUCGUGAAAUAUCGAUUGUUUGUCGAACCCUGUGAAUUGCGUGAAAGUAAGAUACUCC